GGGAAUGUGGCUUAGUGGUAGAGUGCUUGCCUAGCAUGCAUGAAGCCCUGGGUUUGAUUCAGCAGUACCA
rnacentral:tRNA from 1 species